GACGAACGCUGGCGGCGCGCCUAACACAUGCAAGUCGAACGAGCGAGAGAGAGCUUGCUUUCUCGAGCGAGUGGCGAACGGGUGAGUAACGCGUGAGGAACCUGCCUCAAAGAGGGGGACAACAGUUGGAAACGACUGCUAAUGCCGCAUAAGCCCACGGUGCCGCAUGGCACAGAGGGAAAAGGAGCAAUCCGCUUUGAGAUGGCCUCGCGUCCGAUUAGCUAGUUGGUGAGGUAACGGCCCACCAAGGCAACGAUCGGUAGCCGGACUGAGAGGUUGAACGGCCACAUUGGGACUGAGACACGGCCCAGACUCCUACGGGAGGCAGCAGUGGGGAAUAUUGCACAAUGGGGGAAACCCUGAUGCAGCGACGCCGCGUGGAGGAAGAAGGUCUUCGGAUUGUAAACUCCUGUUGUUGGGGAAGGUAAUGACGGUAC
rnacentral:rRNA from 1 species